CUUACGGGUGGCUGCAGUGGGGAAUAUUGGACAAUGGGGGGAACCCUGAUCCAGCCAUGCCGCGUGUGUGAAGAAGGCCCUCGGGUUGUAAAGCACUUUCAGUGAGGAAGAACGCCUGGUGGUUAAUACCCAUCAGGAAAGACAUCACUCACAGAAGAAGCACCGGCUAACUCCGUGCCAGCAGCCGCGGUAAUACGGAGGGUGCGAGCGUUAAUCGGAAUUACUGGGCGUAAAGCGCGCGUAGGUGGCUUGAUAAGCCGGUUGUGAAAGCCCCGGGCUCAACCUGGGAACGGCAUCCGGAACUGUCAAGCUAGAGUGCAGGAGAGGAAGGUAGAAUUCCCGGUGUAGCGGUGAAAUGCGUAGAGAUCGGGAGGAAUACCAGUGGCGAAGGCGGCCUUCUGGACUGACACUGACACUGAGGUGCGAAAGCGUGGGUAGCAAACAGGAUUAGAUACCCGAGUAGUC
rnacentral:rRNA from 1 species